rnacentral:rRNA from 1 species
GACGAACGCUGGCGGCGUGCUUAACACAUGCAAGUCGAACGGUGAACACGGAGCUUGCUCUGUGGGAUCAGUGGCGAACGGGUGAGUAACACGUGAGCAACCUGCCCCUGACUCUGGGAUAAGCGCUGGAAACGGCGUCUAAUACUGGAUACGAGUAGCGGCCGCAUGGUCAGUUACUGGAAAGAUUUUUUGGUUGGGGAUGGGCUCGCGGCCUAUCAGCUUGUUGGUGAGGUAAUGGCUCACCAAGGCGUCGACGGGGAGCCGGCCUGGGGGGGUGACCGGCAACACUGGGACUGAGACACGGCCCAGACUCCUACGGGAGGCAGCAGUGGGUAAUAUUUCACAAUGGGCGAAAGCCUGAUGCAGCAACGCCGCGUGAGGGAUGACGGCCUUCGGGUUGUAAACCUCUUUUAGCAGGGAAGAAGCGAAAGUGACGGUACCUGCAGAAAAAGCGCCGGCUAACUACGUGCCAGCAGCCGCAGUAAAAC